rnacentral:rRNA from 1 species
GAUCCUGGCUCAGGAUGAACGCUAGCGGCAGGCCUAACACAUGCAAGUCGAGGGGCAUCGGGAUUGAAGCUUGCUUCAAUUGCCGGCGACCGGCGCACGGGUGCGUAACGCGUAUGUAACCUACCUAUAACAGGGGCAUAACACUGAGAAAUUGGGUACUAAUUCCCCAUAAUAUUCGGAGAGGCAUCUCUCCGGGUUGAAAACUCCGGUGGUUAUAGAUGGACAUGCGUUGUAUUAGCUAGUUGG